UACGUAGGGGACGAGCGUUGUCCGGAAUUAUUGGGCGUAAAGAGCGUGUAGGCGGCUCUGCAAGUCCUGCGUGAAAUCUCGAGGCUCAACCUCGAGCGGUCGUGGGAAACUGGAGGGCUAGAGUGCGGGAGAGGGAAGUGGAAUUCCAGGUGUAGCGAUGAAAUGCGCAGAUAUCUGGAAGAACACCCGUGGCGAAGGCGGCUUCCUGGAACGACACUGACGCUGAGACGCGAAAGCGUGGGGAGCAAACAGG
rnacentral:rRNA from 1 species